GCCCGUAUAGCUCAGUGGUAGAGCGCAUCACUAGUACGACCUAGUGCAAUGAUGAGGUCCCUGGUUCGAUCCCAGGUGUGGGCA
rfam:Pseudallescheria apiosperma strain IHEM 14462 SEQ_SAPIO_0107, whole genome shotgun sequence.